rnacentral:misc_RNA from 1 species
UUGGAAAAUGUCGAAAAAAUAAUGGCGGAUCAUGAAAAUGUGAUUUUCCUAUUCGCGAUAAUUUUAACGUUUUGAACGAUUAGCAGAUUCGAAAAUCGGUUACGUUAAUGUUCGCGCGGUGCCUUUAAACCCGUUUUAAAUAUGUUACAAAUACUGUUAAUGUAGUUUCUUUGUGUUCCAAGUGAAAGCGUAUUUUUCAUUUGGUUGGGCUUUUUGGACAUGGCCCCAUUGCCCGAUAAUGAUAAAACCGACAAGAAUAAAGAGGACAAAGACGAAGAUAUGUUAAAGGGGGCCCAGAAAGAUGAAAAAACACUAUCUAAUCUAAACGACAGGGAGCUCAAAGCUCUGCUAGACGAAGCCAUAAACUACAAGAACCCCAAAGAUCGGGAAGGAAAAAGUGAGCUGUUUAAUGACCUUCUUCUGCAGGCUGAAGAGACUGAACGUAUAGCCAGGGCUACCUCGGCUGGGGGUUCCGAGUUGGUGAGGCAUUGUAAUCCACAAGCUCGUAGGCACAGGCAUAAUGGGGGCGUUAGGGGUAGAAGAUACGGUGGACCAACCACGUCAUCUAGUUUAAUGGGCAGAUCUGUUAGCGAAAGAGGUACACAUGGAGGAUCCCUGGAUAACCUGGCAAAAGAGGAACUUUAUGAAGCUACCUGUAGGCGAUUGAGAGGUGCUAGGAAAUCUAGUACUAGUUCUAGUGGGGCGUCUUCGAAUUACGGAGGAAAUCAGAUCAGAGUUAGCGCUAGACAGAGGGAAGGGGGCAGCCUACCGUGUAAUGUGAAUGCAGGAGAAUCGUCUAGGGACCUCUUUGAUGACGGUAAACGCCCUAAAGACAUUAAGGACAAGGACUAUACUGUUGUAGAUAUGGAAACAGAGGGUCUUCUAGAGAAUGAUCAUCUUCAAAGGAGUUACGAAGAGAGACAUAUUCAAGCCAGUAGUAUCCACAGUAAUAAUCAAUCUGAAAACGCAAUUGUAACAUCUGCAGCACACAAAUACACUACCAAAGCCUCUUUGCAAAUACAAUCAACUCGUGCCUCAGCAAUCUCAAAUGUGGACGACCCCCUAUCCUUGGACCUGGAAGGCGGAUCUGACAAAAAUGCCGACUCAAAUUCCAUAACUAAAAUGGUACAGAGCAAAUACUCGAAAGUGGACGAAAAUGGGAACGCCCUCCACCAGAACAAAGAGAAAAAGAAGAAGAAGCAGGCCGAUAAGAAUGUGGUCGUUUUGAAGUCGGAAAAUAUCGAGGGACACAGAUCCGAAAUUAUUGAUAACGUGGAACAGCUGGUGCAUUACAUCGAGGGAACCACGGAAAAUAGUUUGAAAUCUCGCUCGGUACAAUCCUCCAAAUCUAGGCAGUUCCAUAAGCAGCACAAUUCCGAAGAUGGCGGUUCGAAAACCGGCAAGAGGAAGCACCCCAAGGCCGGCGGCAAGGAGAAUGGCAACACCGGUACUGGACGUCAUGAAUUAAAGAAAAGCAACUCUCUUGGUGAAAUUUCCGAGAGGAAAUUGGGCAGAGAAUUCGAAGCUUUCGGUGAGAAGAACGAUCAAGACGACGAAAAUGUCGUUUUAAGAACGAAUAAAACUAUCGGAGAUAGAACUCGGGAAAGAAGAUCUUGGGGAACCGUUGAGCCUUCCUCGUUUCAAACGUUCUAUAACGCCACGUCUUUAGAAAAUUUAGAAACAUCAGCCGACAAUUGGGUUGUGACCAGGCCAAAGAAGAAGAGCAAAAAACGACGAAACAGUGUGAGCAGCGCAAGCGCGGGUAGGCAGACUAGUUCAAUGGGUGGCAUGUCAUCGAGUAACGAUGAAAGAAGGAGCGGAAGAGCGGCAUCACCUGAUUUGGCAGUUGUUAUUGUCGGUGUUUCAAGUGUUAAAACUACCCGAUCGAUGCCACAUAGCGAGAAAAGCAACGAUUCCUCAUCAGACGUCGACUCAGUUCACUCACUACCCAUGGACGGACCCAUAUCUUACGCUGAUAUAGCAAAGAACAGCGAGAAAAAGAAACCCAGCCCUGAAAAACAAGAACGCCCCCUAGUUAUUACCACGAAAGAGAAACCUCAAUCUCGUACAACUACUAAAUCGUACGAAAACGAGUUCAAAAACUUACAUAACCUCACUUCAAGCGUUGAAAAAUCGUCUAGUUCUUCAACGUCAUCCUCCUCAACUGUUAAUAUUUCUUCUAGUGUACACAAAAACGUUGUUCCCGACGUGCAUAACAUAAAAAGCUUCCCGGCUAUUACCGGAACUUUAACGAAAAGUUCGAACACUGUAGUGUCUCACCAGAGCUCUACGACAACCAUGACAACAAGUGAUAAGGCUGUGCAAUCUCCAUUGACAUUCGAGGAAUCUUUUGUUCAAGAAAAAUCCCCUCCUCUCGUUAGUAGUGUUACUAAGUCACAAGAAACAAUUUUCGUAAGUGAGGUUAUACACAGUACCCCCGUACCGAACGAUCUGACGUUUACUGUGUCAACUAAUACGAUCUCCGCGUUAACCACGCCUACCAGCAGUAAAAAACCGAGUUCUAACCCUGUCAAAACGAAAGCUAACAAAGAAACGGUUAAAGCCAGUGUGCCAAAUAGGGAGAGUUCGGCGAUUCAAGUGAACCAAAGCGUGACGGCCUUCGUGAGCAGGCAGUGUGAAGUUCACAACGAAUUGCCGUUCUUUUCACAGCUCAUGAGGGACACGGCGCAGUACGCGACUCAGCGAAUGCCGCCGGACAUUGUGGACGUGUCCACCAUCGAGAAGUUGCAAUUUAUGAACUGCUCCACAUCACCACAAUCUCUAUCUGGCCAAAGUGUGACGGUACAUAAUUCUACGCCAGUGUCUUAUACCCCUUUGUCGAGUAGUAUAAACCAAAAAGACAUUGCUUGCGGUACGAAUCAGAGUAAGAGUAAACGGAAAAAAUCUGGAAAUAGUUCGAAAGUGAACUGUGCCCGGGACGAUAGUGGUCUUUCUUCUGUCUGUGAUAAUAAUUUGGGAGAAAGAGACGUUAGCAGUAUUCUUAACGGGGUAUCAGAUGAGAUUUUCUCGUCUCCGGAACCAAGUAACCAAUCAAAUAGCCCACCGCCAGUAGUGAUUCUGUCAGGCCAUAACAAAGACGUUCCCUCGGGUCUCGUUUUUGGUUUCGACAUUAACGAGCAACUCUUACUCGAAGACAGUGGCGGAGGGGGCGGGGAAAUAAGUUUAUUAGUUAGUAGCCAAAAUAUUAGUGAGAAUACGACCGAGAAUAGUGUAGAAACGUCACAUUCUAAAGCUGAGGAAUGGGCUAAACGUUACAAACCCCCGGCCAAUAGCGAAAAGAAUCUGAUAAAACACAACCACGACAAAAUUGUUAGUUAUAUAUCGUCCGCCUGGGACAACGUUAUCGGCCAAAACUUUCAAUAUUACUCCGAUGAGUUAUAAGAACUCGGACUAGUCCUACCUGUGUUAGUGAUAAAGUGAGACUUGAUUAUAAAUCUAUAUCGUAAAAAGUGCUUAAGAAGAGACUAUUUUAGUAAUAACGAAACUUAAUUUAUAUAAAUAAUAACGAGGAGAAUACCAUACACCCGAUACUAGUCACGAAUUUGAACAUCUAACUGUAGCGUAAGUUUAAAAUAAUGCGAGAAAAUUGUAAAAAAAUAUAUUUUAAUCUGAAACGAGCCACGCUUCGAGCUUUUUUUCCGGAAAGCUAUGGAUAUGGUGGGCGCGAAAAAGCAGUGCGAAAAAAGUGUUCCCUUACCGAUGGACCUAGUUUUGUUAUAGUGAAAAUCCUGUUAAAGUGCUAUAAUGUAAAAUGUCGUCACAAAAAAUCAGCAAUACUGCGAAGUAGCUAACGAUAGAGGCUCCAAAACGUUUUAGAGACCCCGCAGGCGCUCAGUUCUCUGACGCAGACGGACUGCCAGGUUCAGGCUUGGUUUCAGCCAACUUUUCCACAAUUCUGCACCAAUCUAAAAAGCCCUUUUUUGUACGUUCUUGGAUAUUGCUCCAUAACUCUGGAGCCCAUGGAAUAUUCUCUAUGCUACAACAAAAUAUUAGUAUACCGCCUUAAAUUAGAUUGUUAAAGUACUACAACGGCACAAAAACUGAAUAAAAAAGGUUUA